UACGUAGGUGACCAGCGUUGUCCGGAUUUACUGGGCGUAAAGAGCGCGCAGGCGGUCGUUCAAGUCGAGUGUGAAAGCCCCCGGCUCAACUGGGGAGGGUCACUUGAUACUGAUCGACUCGAAGGCAGGAGAGGGAAGCGGAAUUCCCGGUGUAGUGGUGAAAUGCGUAGAUAUCGGGAGGAACACCUGUGGCGAAAGCGGCGCACUGGACCAUAACUGACGCUGAGGCGCGAAAGCUAGGGAGCAAACAGG
rnacentral:rRNA from 1 species